GUGAUUUUCGGGGGAGACAGGUGCGGCUUUGGGCACUGGGAGCUGGGUGGAACAUGUUCCCCCGCCACCUCUGCACUGGCGGCAUCGUCUCUUCUCGCGCUUAAUCCGCACAUUGUGAAUCGGCCACAGCCCCCGUAUGUGGUUACAUUAUCCACGUUUUCUCUUUUUCGUCUUUUUCAAUCGUUUUCUGACAAUUGAAAUGUCUAAGUAA
rnacentral:misc_RNA from 1 species